rnacentral:rRNA from 1 species
UAGGUAAAUUUGUCUCAAAUCGUGUGUUUAGUAUAGGUGUAUUACUCUUGAAAAACUAGACUGUUUGGCGGCGAAAGGUAUAGACAGAGGAAAAUGCUGUUAAUCGAAAUUGCGCGAUAAAUCUUACCAGAACUUGAAACUCAUUUUGUACACAGCCGUCUGAAGGAUAAAUUUAAUAGUUUGCUCUUACUCUAAAAUAUUGAAUAGAGAAUUAAGUCAGGUCAAUGUGCAGACUAUGUUCUGGAAAAAGUGUUUUUCAUCAUUAAUUAUAAUGUGUCCCAUAUUCAUAAUAAACUAUAUUUCCUUACAAAUAAAUCCUUGGGUAAUUGAAUUUGUUAGUAAAUAUUGUUUAAUAUGCACUAUUGAA